rnacentral:lncRNA from 1 species
GCAACCGGCGGCGCCCGCCCGCCGAGCGGCCCCGCUCCAGAAGGUUCGGGCCGGGUCCCGGCGCGGUUCCCCGCGGGGAGCAGCCCCACGCGUGGGGCCCCACGCCGCUCCUCCCCACGCCGCCCCUCGGGCUGCCUCUCCCGAAGACCCGUUUUUGCCCGGCGAGGCCCCCGGUCCGGCCCGGCCCGGCUUGGGGAGGGGUGUGCAGGCCCCGGCGGGGAGCAGGCCCGGCCUUCACCUCAGCUCCUGUCAGGCGUUUGCAGGAAGAAGCAGCCCCGUGGCCGGCUGUAAAGGAGAAACCCCUCAGCGAGCCCUGUCGCUGGGCAUGGUCGUGAAAGGAAGGUUUCAGUAAAAGAAUGGAGCAAAUACACGGGGAGAGUUAUCUAGGUUUGCUGAAGAGCAGAGUGGUUGUGAACAUGCAGAGAACUGUAAUAUGGAAAUCCAGCCGCUGCCUCCAGAGAUGUGGAGACCUGCAGUGUCCAGAGGAAGGUGCCCGUCUCUCCCGUCAUGGCUGUGCUGGAAUCCAUCCCCUUUCACCAGGAGCACAGAAAAAGUGGAAAAUAGAACAGCAACAACAAAACCUUUGCAUAGGCAAGAUUCCUAAAUGCUAA